UAUUCUCCGGUCAAUAAGUAAUGACUUAACGGUGGUAGACAAAUAAUUAUCGGUACGUAUACUGAAAUAAGGUGACUGGCAACAAUAUAAAACAUAAGAUACAUUGAUUGUUUUGGAUUUUGGGGUCACAUAUUUUUAUGGUUCAAAUGAUGGAGGUAGACGACAAUAAGCACAAUCAAGAAUCCUACUUUAGCUUCCUUGUGCAGCAAGUAGAAAACCAAUCUGAUUUGUGCGAUGUGACAGUAAAAUUAGGAAUGUGGGAGAAGAAAUUUCACAGAUGUGUACUUGCUGCUAGUCCAUUUUUUGAAACAGUCACCAACGGAUAUUGCGCGGAAACACAGUCAGACAUUGCUGAGAUAAAGAUUGACACCACACCUGAGGUGCUUGAGAUGGCACUAAUGUUCCUGUACGGAAUUAUACCUACUUUUACCAUAAACAACGUAGGAGGUCUUCUAGAGCUGGCAGAAUUUCUGUUGUUAAGUGUCUUAAAUCCGUUUGCAUUAACUGGCUCAACUCUCUUGACUUUAAUGAAGUCAAUUGUAUGUACGUGAUACAAUUAUCUACUAAGUACAAUUUCGAAGUGACAACUUGUAUCGACUACAUCGAAAGCCACCUUCCUGAGACGUUUCAAAAUUCAGACGCAUGGAAUCUUUCUAAAGAAUCAGUCGAGUAUCUGCUUGGCGACAGGAAGUUUUCGUACGUUCAAAUGGAUGAUAAAUUAACGUUUUUGAUGAAAUGGGUCAAUAUGCACCCCAGUGAGUCGGUUGAAAAUGUAACAGCUCUGUUUAAGGACGAUUGAUAUGCGAGGAGUAUCAUAUUCUGUCUGGGAAAAUACCACGCGUAUAUUUCCAUUCAAUGAAAUUAUAAAUUCAAACAAAAUAGUUCGCUUAGCAGACGCUGAAGUUAGCAGACAUAACAUAUUAAUAAUGAGUAGUGACAAAGGUAACUUUUGGUGUUUAGAUAUAGAAGAUGACCGAUGGUAUCAACUGAAUUCAAGUAUAUUCGAAAGUCAUCGCUACGACAAAGAUUAUCCUGAAAUUGCUGGACUAAGAAAUAAUCUACCUGAAAUAUAUUUCACAGAAAAUUUGGAUCUAGGAUACCCGUGUACGAAAGUGUCUACUGUGAAUUUGGAAACAGAUCAAACACAUACAUACACAUUUAACCUAAUAGAUGAAGACAUCCUAAAUGGAAAUAUUGUGGAGGAAGAGCUGACAAACCCCUGACAAAUUACUUCUGUCUUUUCUCAAGAUGUUAUUAAAGAUGCGCAGUUUGGACAUAUUCACGUCUUUCCGGUUCAAACUGAUUGUAAUUUUCCAACUUUGUUUUUGCCACCUCGCGGAUACCUUAAGUCUUGUUUUAAUUAAUUUCUCUUUAAUUCUAUGUUACAGCCCUGUCAUUUCUUGCCUCUACGGCUUAUUAGGGUAAAUGAUAGGACACAUUCACUUUAGCGGCCUUUAAACGCAUUUUGGAAUCCAUUACUAUCUAGCAGUAGGUGCAAGGAGCAUACUUUCGCAAACAUUACGACGCCCCUGAUAUAAAACUAUCUUGUCAUGACAAAUGUAACUCCUUAAGCAAGGAUCAGUGCUGAGGUAAAACUUUUCACUGACCAAUGACAAUACUUUUGCUUCAAAAUUUUGUUUGAUCAUGCCUAAAAGUAGAAUUACUUUUAAUGUUCAUCAAUAUAUUGUAUUUGUUUGUUUUGGGUUUAACGCCAUUUUUCAACAGUAUUUCAGUCAUGUAACAGCGGGCAGUUAACCUAACCAAUGUUCCUGUAUUCUGUACCAGUACAAACCUGUUCUCCGCAAGUAACUGUCAACUUCCCCACAUGAAUACAUUGUAAAGAUAUGAAUUAGACUAUCUGCAUGUAAAAUGUGAAAAGCUAGAGGUAUCUGUUAGUGUGUCUUUUUUAAAUUAAAACAGUUAUUAUACUGAGCUUAACUCAUAUAGGCCGACUUCUUCAGACGUUAUCAGGCGUUAUCUGGCUUUCAAAGUAGAAACAUUUAUACGCCGAUAAGCGAAACUUAUCUUUGUAAGUCGUGUUUAUAAUACUUGUUGUGUGAAGCCUCUAUGUCUAAAUUUUGGAAUUUUACACAGAACAAUUAUACUUUAAUAAAAUAAAACUAUAUUUUUGUUAAAAGAAUUGUACAUAAAGCAAUACAAAACAGAUUUGCUUAUUAUUCUUUGCUACACAUGCUCACCUCAGUGUCAUCAUUAUGUGAAAAUGGAGAAUGAUUUAGGCAAUUUUAGCGAGUAAAUGGAAUUGACUUUAUUUAAAUGAACACGAAAACAAUAUUUAUGUUUCAAACUAAUAUGAUUUUUCCGAAAAUAACAAUUAUCCGCGCAAAAAAAUGCGAGUAGAAAAAUAUCACACAAUAUAAUGGACUUUAGUUUGUUCGACGGCGGGAAGUUAACCUAAAAACAGUGUUCUGGAUUCCGUACUAGAACAAACCUGUUCUCUGCAAGGAACUGCUAACUUUCCUACAUGAAUCAGAAAUGGAGGACGAAUGAAUUCAAACACAGUGUCUUUUAUAAGAUCCUUACGGAGAACAUACCGAGGAUUGAACACAGCAGUAGAAUGAACUAAUAUAAAAUUACUACAUGUGUUCUCUGUUUGAGCGUCUUGGGCGGUGCCCUACAGUGUUGUUACAUCUCACUUGUCAGUUUUCGACCUUCUUGUCUUCGUGUCUUCGACAUUUCGACUCGCCGGCACGAAUUAUUUCGAAUUUUUGUGUUUUCAAUACUCCGACAUUUCAUUUCGCCGACACGAACACACGAUAUUGCAGAAAUCAGCCACCAUAAUCUAAGGUAUAAUUACACCAAUGGUUUUAGGUCAACAACUUGUCUGAAGUCAGAGCACUAACAGCCUAACUUAAAGGCACGACUAAGCAAGCUGCAAGACAAAUUCCACUCACGCCGUCCGUCUUUCUUUAGGAUUUAGGAGGAAAGCAUUAAGGAGUCUGACACGUUAUUAGUCAUUGCACCAUCAAAUAGGAAAGCGUAGCGAUUAACUGUAGAGGGGUCAAUCACCAAACAUGCACUGCUCGUAACGAUUUUCGCAUUGUAUCCUCUUUUGAUAAUUUUUAAAACAUAUUUUAUAAAUAUUUUAUUAGAAUAAGCAUUAUGUUUAUCUUACAAAUUAUAUCAACUACAUUUCCAGAGUAUACCGUGUGUGUAAGACCAAGUACUUCGAGGUUAGUAUUACGACCUGUAGUUGAAUUUAAUAAAAACCUUCCGUAGUUAAUGAUAUCGGUAAUAUGUUUGUAAUAACUAGAAAUAAAAAUAAGAUGCUCAAAAACCUUCAGAUCACGCUUUUGGUAGUGUUGUUGGUAUGUGUGCCCUGGUUUAGUAUACUAGUAUUUAAAACAUGUUUACCGUUUCCAAGAACAACCGAAUGGUAACUAAAAUGUACCGAAAACAUAAAUUCAUCACAUAUGAAAACAAUGCAUUAAGUCGUCGUGUAAUUUUUUUUUAUUCCAGAAUAGCGACAAUACAAGUUUGUUUUAUGUAUUUACAUCUGCAGAAGCCCUUGGGAUAUGUGUGUGACCUCGACUUUCGGUCUCAGUCACAAAC
rnacentral:misc_RNA from 1 species